CUUUUAUACAUGCCAAACACGAUUUGCAGUGCUGUGUAGAUGAUUCCUACAGGGUUGUCUAUUAACGCAUGCUUAUUGUUAGAUACGUUCAAAUAACCUACGCUUGAAACAUCACGUUGUUUGAACAAUGUCGGAGUCUGGCCACAGCCAGCCUGGCGUGUAUGGUCAGGGGCGGAGGAGGCGCCGACGCCGGGACAGGGAUCCCAUAGGACCGGGACAAAAUCUGUCGGGUCCCAGCCGUGAUCGGGAGUAUGUGCCUAGAGAACGCAGGGAUGGUAGUGAGGAUCCACCUGGACCACUUCUUCAGAAGACCCCCAUAAUUCUCGCCAAACCACCUGGAGAAAGGAGCAAGAGUCAGAAUGUCCCUGUUGGUGGCGCGCCAUCCCUGGAGAAACCCAUCAUGCUCAUGAAGAGCAGGGAGGAGGCUGGUAAACCUGGGACCCCGCCAGAUACUGGCCCACCUGUGACUGGCACUGGAGCUGCCAAGCUGGAGAGGGAGGGCCAGCGUCCAACCCAGCCCGUGUAUCAGAUCCAGAACAGGGGCAUGGGAGCAGCAGCCUCCAGUGCUGCUGUGGACCCCGUGAUUGGCCAGACGAAGUUGCUUCCACCUGAGAGAAUGAAGCACAGUAUUAAGUUGGUGGACGAUCAGAUGAACUGGUGUGACAGUGCCAUGGAGUAUCUGCGCGAUCAGACGGACAUGCUUGUGGUGGGGGUCCUGGGGCUUCAAGGGACGGGCAAGUCCACAAUCAUGUCUCUCCUGUCGGCUAACACUCCGGAGGAGGAUCAGAGAACGCACGUGUUCAGGGCUCAGACCCAGGAGAUCAAGGAGAGAGGGGGGAACCAGAGCAGCGGCAUCGACUUCUACAUAACCCAGGAGCGAGUCAUCUUCCUGGACACACAGCCUAUUAUGAGCCCGUCCAUUUUAGAUCACUUGAUCAACAAUGACCGCAAACUUCCCCCAGAAUACAGCCUCCCUCACACCUAUGUGGAGAUGCAGUCUCUUCAGAUCGCUGCCUUCCUGUUCACGGUGUGCCACGUGGUCAUCGUUCUUCAGGACUGGUUCACUGACAUCAACAUUUACAGGUUCCUGCAGACAGCUGAGAUGCUGAAGCCCUCUACGCCAUCCGCUAGCCACGACAGCACUGGAUCCUCAGGAAACGACGAGGGCUCGGAGUAUUACCCCCAUAUAGUUUUCCUUCAGAACAAGGCUCGGAGGGAGGAGUUCUGCCCCCGGAACCUGAAGAAGAUGCACAUGACCGUGGACAAACUGAUGGCUCACUCCCAUCUCAAGUACAAAGGCACCCUGUCCAUGCUAGACUGUAACAUCUUCCCCGGCCUGGGCCGAGACUACCUGGAGACUGAGGUGAACCUGUUCCUCCUGCCCAUGCUGGACAGCGAUGGGGAGGACACCUUAACCAGAGCAGGUCCGGCGUCGGGUGCCGGGGGGGCUCCCCUCUUCUCCCUGCUGCCCGGGUACAGGGGCCACCCCACCUUCUCCUCACUCGUGGCCAAGCUGCGCAGCCAGGUGCUGGCCAUGUCUCGCAGCCAGCUGUCCCACACCAUCCUCACAGAGAAGAAUUGGUUCCACUACGCGGCACGGAUCUGGGAUGGCGUGAAGAAGUCCUCUGCCCUCUCUGAGUACAGCCGCCUGCUGUCUUAGUGGCCCCCGCCGAAGCCGCGACCACAGGAAGACACGAGUGACCGCUCGAGCUCGAGCUCCUCCACCUCUGCCGUCAGCCUGCCUCUGCCCUUACCCACAGCUGGAGGUCUGGACGUUUUGGACAGCCUCCCAGCACCAGCAGGACAGUGAAGAGGCUGACGGGACGUGAAUGGGAGACCGCAAUGGGGCGGGACUGGGAAAUGAUCAGAGUCCGACUCAAACCCGCGUCCCCAUGGACCCGAGUGUGGUGUUGGUGCUGUAGCCAGUUGCGUCACAGUAUCUCCCGGACACGAGUGACUUUUUGACACGGGAGUCGUUGGGGAGAUACUGAAGAAAAGUUGUUUUCAGCUUGUUUUCUGAAGGCAAUGUUCCCCCCAGGUCAUAACGUAAAAACGCUCACAGAAAUCCGUCAUUAAGGUAUGCUCAUACCAGGAAUGUGAAUGGCAGAAACAGCAGUUUUAAGUAUCACUCAAAUGUGCAUAACAUCCACACUGAACACUUGUAAUGAUAACGUGAAUGCUAAUUUUGUUGGGGAUCAUUUUUAGGGCGAUUUUUGAGAACAGUAGAACUGGGCUGUAGACAUCACAUGGACAUGAGGAGACUUUCAUAAUCAUUGAUCAGAAUGGAUGUUCUAGAUAGAGUUGUCUUUAUAGUUGAUGAACUGCAUAGUGCCCGUGAUUCAUUGCACAGCCAGAUUUGUGACCGUUUCGUUAUUUUACUGAAAAACUGAAAGACUUCGGUUUUGAGUUCUAUGGAUUCAUACAGACCAGUGUGUAACACGAUGGAAGCCCAUGUUUUUGGCAUAAGCCAAUAUUCCUCCAAAAAUGUUCCUCCAUAUGACUAUGUAUAUGUAUGUAAUAAAGCCAAAUGUCACACGUGAUCAUC